UACGUAGGGUGCAAGCGUUUGUCCGGAAUUAUUGGGCGUAAAGAGCUCGUAGGCGGUUCGUCGCGUCGGCUGUGAAAACCUGAGGCUCAACCUCAGGCCUGCAGUCGAUACGGGCGGACUUGAGUACUGCAGGGGAGACUGGAAUUCCUGGUGUAGCGGUGAAAUGCGCAGAUAUCAGGAGGAACACCGGUGGCGAAGGCGGGUCUCUGGGCAGUACUGACGCUGAGGAGCGAA
rnacentral:rRNA from 1 species